ACGGCCGUACCAUGCUGAAUAUACCGGUUCUCGUUAGAUCACCGAAGUCAAGCAUCGUUGGGCGCGGUCAGUACUUGGGUGGGUGACCACCUGGGAACA
rnacentral:rRNA from 1 species